UUUCAUUUUAUGUUCUUCCAAAGCUUGAUUGUUGUCUCUUGAUAAUUUCUAGAAUCAUGAAAAUAUAACUAGUUGUGGAAUAAAAUUCAAUAUUUUGGAUACCGAAAUGUAAACAAAGCCUUUGUUUACAUACGGACUGUACCGCAUCUUUAAAGUAUAGCAUUAAUUAAUGAAAGGCAGUCAAAGAAAAGGCAUUGAGUGAUUGAGAAAGGGGAUGCGAUAACAUAUAAAAUUUGAUAAACUUCUUAAUUGUUAAAGAUUGUCAGAAGUUCAGAACACUGUUUCCAUAAUUCAAUAAUUUUAUAUAUUAUACAAUAAU